AGCGAAUGGAUUAAGAGCUUGCUCUUAUGAAGUUAGCGGCGGACGGGUGAGUAACACGUGGGUAACCUGCCCAUAAGACUGGGAUAACUCCGGGAAACCGGGGCUAAUACCGGAUAACAUUUUGAACCGCAUGGUUCGAAAUUGAAAGGCGGCUUCGGCUGUCACUUAUGGAUGGACCCGCGUCGCAUUAGCUAGUUGGUGAGGUAACGGCUCACCAAGGCAACGAUGCGUAGCCGACCUGAGAGGGUGAUCGGCCACACUGGGACUGAGACACGGCCCAGACUCCUACGGGAGGCAGCAGUAGGGAAUCUUCCGCAAUGGACGAAAGUCUGACGGAGCAACGCCGCGUGAGUGAUGAAGGCUUUCGGGUCGUAAAACUCUGUUGUUAGGGAAGAACAAGUGCUAGUUGAAUAAGCUGGCACCUUGACGGUACCUAACCAGAAAGCCACGGCUAACUACGUGCCAGCAGCCGCGGUAAUACGUAGGUGGCAAGCGUUAUCCGGAAUUAUUGGGCGUAAAGCGCGCGCAGGUGGUUUCUUAAGUCUGAUGUGAAAGCCCACGGCUCAACCGUGGAGGGUCAUUGGAAACUGGGAGACUUGAGUGCAGAAGAGGAAAGUGGAAUUCCAUGUGUAGCGGUGAAAUGCGUAGAGAUAUGGAGGAACACCAGUGGCGAAGGCGACUUUCUGGUCUGUAACUGACACUGAGGCGCGAAAUUUCGUGACUAUAUCU
rnacentral:rRNA from 1 species